UAAUAAGGAUGGGGAAGCAGCUAAAGAAAAGAAAGAAGAGGACGCGUGAAAGAAGAAGGAAGAGGAAAGGAAGAGAACUAGGGUUCAUCAUCAAUCACGGUACAGGUGCUAGUGGAGCAUCUCAUGAGAAGUAGACAGAGAGCUAUAUACUGUUAUUUAGAUAGUUAUCUAGUAGUAUGAGGGUCAAUUUCUUUGUAUGUAACAUUGGGGAACGUGGUUUGAUAAAUUAUUUUGAUGAGAGUAAUUGACAACUCUUUUUGGUUCUUUCUUUUGUAAACUUGAGUUACAUGGAGUUGACGUUUUUGGAUGGCCAUAAUGCCUAUACUUCUUAUACUGAA